GGUGGAGCUCAAAGAAAUGUGCAAGUGUGUGCACACAUGGUAUAUGAUGAAGAAGUGAGGUGUGUAUGAGUGUGUUUAUUCUAAUGGGUUUAAGAGUGUAGCUUCAUUGCUCAUUUCAUUUGUGCUGAAGAGUUGCUAUGAGAGUCCUAGUCCUAGUCCUAAAGAGAGAAUUUUGCUAAGUCAAGAAGUGGGUUUGCUUUCUUUAAUUGCUGGAGCUCUUUAUUAUGUAUUGCUGAGAAAGGAAUAGAGAGAGACCCGAGAGGGAGAGGAAGAGAUUCAAAUCUUGGAACUCUAUGUGCCGGAAUGGUGAAGGAAAGCAAGGGGAAAACUUGGAAAAAGUGAAGAAAAGAAGGAGCUCAAGGAAUUUCAACAGUUAAAGCUUUUGGUCACGCACUAUUGUCUACCUGAUCUGUCUGAUCUGCCUCUGCAGCUAUCUGUAAUCAGGCACGUGACCAAGCCUAGAGUUUCUGCCUGGAUUCUAUUUUUUCAGCCAACCUAUGUGCCUCUCGUGGAGGUUCCGGAUAUGUCUAGUAGUUAUGGCUAAGUGCAUAAAGAUCAAGUUUUGUUUUCUUGUUUAGUUAAACAAGUCUUUGCUUAUUUUGUAAAUAGGGUUAAGUCCCUUUUUGUCUAAUCUGUAUAUAUAUGAUAAUGUAAGAGUGAUGUGUAAAUAUGUAUAUAAAAAGUUUAAAACAAUUUCGUCUCAUAUAAGUCUACAGCUCAAUGUAUAUUGUAUAUUUAUUAUUUGCUUCCGUUAGCCCCUAAUAUUAAGCUAAUCUGUCUCAGAGGCCUUCGGUAAUCCUAGAAUUACUGGCCGGUUAUGAUACUAAACCUAUAGGGGCAGGUUUGGGUGGUGACAGCAGCCGAACUGGUGGAAGGGGCAGACUAAGGCAGAGAUAAUACAAAACUUCUAACAGUCUGACUACUUCAAGCAUCAGCUGAGCAUCUAUUGGGAUAGUGGGUGGGUGAGUUUCCAACAGAGAGUAGAAGAGGUCUUCCCAAACAUUGACUUCACCCUCAUAAAGCCCAAAGAGUGAGACAUUGCCCAGACCCUGCUGGACGAGGGUAUUGAAGAAGAAGAUCUGGUGUGUAAUAGGGAGGAAGGAGAUGAAGGCGGAGGAAGUUCAACUACUGGGAGCGUAGUACGUGUCUAACUUAUUUGUUUUGUUUUAAUUUGUCUUUGUAAAGAAUUUUACAGUUUGUAAGAAACUUGUGUUAUAGUACAAAAACUGUUCUUGUAAAUGAUAGAGUAAUAAACUGUUGUUCAUUUUUCCUUUUUCA